rnacentral:rRNA from 1 species
UACGUAGGGGGGCAAGCGUUGUCCGGAUUUAUUGGGCGUAAAGAGCGUGUAGGCGGUUUGGUAGGUCCGCUGUGAAAACUCGAGGCUCAACCUCGAGACGCCGGUGGAAACCAUCAGGCUAGAGUCCGGAAGAGGAGAGUGGAAUUCCUGGUGUAGCGGUGAAAUGCGCAGAUAUCGGGAAGAACACCCGUGGCGAAGGCGGCUCUCUGGGACGGUACUGACGCUGAGACGCGAAAGCGUGGGGAGCGAACAGG